ACCUACGGGCCGCAGCAGUGGGGAAUAUUGCACAAUGGGGGAAACCCUGAUGCAGCGACGCCGCGUGAAGGAAGAAGUAUUUCGGUAUGUAAACUUCUAUCAGCAGGGAAGAAAAUGACGGUACCUGACUAAGAAGCCCCGGCUAACUACGUGCCAGCAGCCGCGGUAAUACGUAGGGGGCAAGCGUUAUCCGGAUUUAUUGGGUUUAAAGGGAGCGUAGGCCGGCUUUUAAGUCAGCUGUGAAAGUCCGCGGCUCAACCGUGGAAUUGCAGUUGAAACUGGAGGCCUUGAGUGCACACAGGGAU
rnacentral:rRNA from 1 species